rnacentral:rRNA from 1 species
GACGAACGCUGGCGGCGUGCCUAAUACAUGCAAGUCGAGCGAGUCUGCCUUGAAGAUCGGAGUGCUUGCACUCUGUGAAACAAGAUACAGGCUAGCGGCGGACGGGUGAGUAACACGUGGGUAACCUGCCCAAGAGAUCGGGAUAACACCUGGAAACAGAUGCUAAUACCGGAUAACAACAGAUGAUGCCUAUCAACUGUUUAAAAGAUGGUUCUGCUAUCACUCUUGGAUGGACCUGCGGUGCAUUAGCUAGUUGGUAGGGUAACGGCCUACCAAGGCGAUGAUGCAUAGCCGAGUUGAGAGACUGAUCGGCCACAUUGGGACUGAGACACGGCCCAAACUCCUACGGGAGGCAGCAGUAGGGAAUCUUCCACAAUGGACGCAAGUCUGAUGGAGCAACGCCGCGUGAGUGAAGAAGGGUUUCGGCUCGUAAAGCUCUGUUGUUGGUGAAGAAGGACAGGGGUAGUAACUGACCUUUGUUUGACGGUAAUCAAUUAGAAAGUCACGGCUAACUACGUGCCAGCCGCCGCCGUAACAC